CAAUCGUGAUACACUGAAUUGUAUACUAAGACCACAUCCAAAUGUAGAGAAAGCAACACCAAGUGGUAUAGCGAAGGCUAACCAACUUGGAAGUACUCUUUUGGACCAUAAAACGGCAACGGCAGGUGCACUUAUCAUUUCAGCAGCCGAUGACCAACCAUCGUAUGCCCAAAGACCAUUAUAAAAGGCCAAUGCUAUGUUACCGGCGGAUGUUGUUGUACCACGAAAAGGAUCCUUUAAUAGAUCCAAAUGGCCAGUACUUAACCAGUAUAUACCACCUCCUAUUACAAGAAUACAAGCUGCUACUUUACAUAUCGUCAAUGAAUUUUGCACUUUAACGUAAAGUUUAACACUCGUUAGAUUCGUAAAUGUAAUCAGGCCAAGUGCCAGCAUGGCGAUUAAUUUUUUCAAUCGGUCCAUCGAAUCCAUUGGCAAAUCGUCAAGGUAAUAAGAGAAUGGUUGUACACCAUAUUCAGCGAACGUUAAUAUUACAACAGCAACUUCGGCCGGUCUUAGAAGUAUAACGUAUACCCAGGAACAAAUGAAUGCUGGUAUUUGUCCAGCGUAAUGGUGAAGAGGAGCAUAAGCUUCGAUGAAGUAAGCAUAUUCCGCACCGGAACGUGGUACAACCGUACUCAAUUCCGCAAAUGCCAAAGCACCCAAUAGUGACAGGAAACCGCAGGUUAUCCAAAUGAUUAAACAAAAUCCUACGGAUCCGGAUCUUUCCAAAGCGUUGGCCGGUGAUACAAAUAUUCCAGAACCUGAGUAAUGAGAAAAUGCGAAUAUUUUUAUUUUUCUUGAUCGACGAAGGAAAGGAAAAGAUAAAAAUAAAAGGAAAAUAAAUGGAAAAAAAAAAAUAAGAAGAAAAAAGAAAUAUUUUCGUUGCAAUCUGUGCAUCUGUGCGAAAGAAAAUAAGAAAAGGAACAAAAAAAGAAAAAAACAAAAAAAGAAAAAAACAAAAAAAGAAAGAAAAGAAUAAAAAUAAAAAAUCAACAAAUAACUCCUGUCUCUAUUAUUGUUCCAAUCGUUUGUAACGCGUGGGUCAGUUAUUAACCCCAAUUGAACCUUUGGUUCAUAUAUUCGUUCAAAGGGAUAACGACACCGUUAUUAAAUGACAUUGUUAUUUCGUUAAUCAUUCUCCUGUUAUAUCAUGGAAAAGAAGAGAGAGAAAAAAAUUGGUGGGAAAGAAGAAGAGAAGAGAGACAAGCGCGAAAAGA